GAUGAACGCUGGCGGCGUGCCUAAUACAUGCAAGUCGGGCGAACGGACGAGAAGCUUGCUUUUCUGAUGUUAGCGGCGGACGGGUGAGUAACACGUGGAUAACCUACCUAUAAGACUGGGAUAACUUCGGGAAACCGGAGCUAAUACCGGAUAAUAUUUUGAACCGCAUGGUUCAAAAGUGAAAGACGGUCUUGCUGUCACUUAUAGAUGGAUCCGCGCUGCAUUAGCUAGUUGGUAAGGUAACGGCUUACCAAGGCAACGAUGCAUAGCCGACCUGAGAGGGUGAUCGGCCACACUGGAACUGAGACACGGUCCAGACUCCUACGGGAGGCAGCAGUAGGGAAUCUUACGCAAUGGGCGAAAGCCUGACGGAGCAACGCCGCGUGAGUGAUGAAGGUCUUCGGAUCGUAAAACUCUGUUAUUAGGGAAGAACAUAUGUGUAAGUAACUGUGCACAUCUUGACGGUACCUAAUCAGAAAGCCACGGCUAACUACGUG
rnacentral:rRNA from 1 species